CUCGUAGGCGGCCAACUAAGUCCGACGUGAAAUCCCCAGGCUUAACCUGGGAACUGCGUCGGAUACUGGAUGGCUUGAAUUCGGGAGAGGGAUGCAGAAUUCCAGGUGUAGCGGUGAAAUGCGUAGAUAUCUGGAGGAAUACCGGUGGCGAAGGCGGCAUCCUGGACCGACAUUGACGCUCAUGAGCGAAAGCUAGGGAGCAAACG
rnacentral:rRNA from 1 species